AACGAACGCUGGCGGCAUGCCUAACACAUGCAAGUCGAACGUAGGCUUCGGCCUUAGUGGCGCACGGGUGCGUAACGCGUGGGAAUCUGCCCUUUGCUUCGGAAUAACAGUUAGAAAUGACUGCUAAUACCGGAUGAUGUCGCAAGACCAAAGGUUUAUCGGCAAAGGAUGAGCCCGCGUAGGAUUAGCUAGUUGGUGGGGUAAAGGCCUACCAAGGCGACGAUCCUUAGCUGGUCUGAGAGGAUGAUCAGCCACACUGGGACUGAGACACGGCCCAGACUCCUACGGGAGGCAGCAGUGGGGAAUAUUGGACAAUGGGCGAAAGCCUGAUCCAGCAAUGCCGCGUGAGUGAUGAAGGCCUUAGGGUUGUAAAGCUCUUUUACCCGGGAUGAUAAUGACAGUACCGGGAGAAUAAGCUCCGGCUAACUCCGUG
rnacentral:rRNA from 1 species